GGGGCUGUAGCUCAGUGGUAGAGCACUCGCCUUGCAAGUAUGAGACCCUGGGUUUGAUCCCCAGCACCA
rnacentral:tRNA from 1 species